GAUGAACGCUGGCGGCGUGCUUAACACAUGCAAGUCGAACGAUGAAGCCCAGCUUGCUGGGUGGAUUAGUGGCGAACGGGUGAGUAACACGUGAGUAACCUGCCCUUAACUCUGGGAUAAGCCUGGGAAACUGGGUCUAAUACCGGAUAGGAGCGUCCCCCGCAUGGUGGGUGUUGGAAAGAUUUAUCGGUUUUGGAUGGAUUCGCGGCCUAUCAGCUUGUUGGUGAGGUAAUGGCUCACCAAGGCGACGACGGGUAGCCGGCCUGAGAGGGUGACCGGCCACACUGGGACUGAGACACGGCCCAGACUCCUACGGGAGGCAGCAGUGGGGAAUAUUGCACAAUGGGCGCAAGCCUGAUGCAGCGACGCCGCGUGAGGGAUGACGGCCUUCGGGUUGUAAACCUCUUUCAGUAGGGAAGAAGCGAAAGUGACGGUACCUGCAGAAGAAGCACCGGCUAACUACGUG
rnacentral:rRNA from 1 species